CUGAGUGAGGGCCUCCGGGUCCGACCUCCAACCCUUUGUGAACCAAUCUUGUUGCUUCGGGGGCGACCCUGCCGCUUCGGCGGUGCGGCGCCCCCGGAGGCCAUCAAACACUGCAUCAUUGCGUCGGAGUCAAAGUAAAUGAAACA
rnacentral:misc_RNA from 1 species